rnacentral:rRNA from 1 species
UACGGAGGGUGCAAGCGUUAUCCGGAUUCACUGGGUUUAAAGGGUGCGUAGGUGGGUUGGUAAGUCAGUGGUGAAAUCUCCGUGCUUAACAUGGAAACUGCCAUUGAUACUACUGAUCUUGAAUUUUCAGGAGGUAAGCGGAAUAUGUCAUGUAGCGGUGAAAUGCUUAGAUAUGACAUAGAACACCAAUUGCGAAGGCAGCUUACUACAGGAAUAUUGACACUGAUGCACGAAAAGCGUGGGGGAUC